rnacentral:rRNA from 1 species
GGAUCCAGACUUUGAUCAUGGCUCAGGAUGAACGCUGGCGGCAUGCCUAAGACAUGCAAGUCGAACGAGAUGGCCCACAGAUUCAGAAGGAAAACGGAGUGCUUGCACGAAGUUAGAAUUUUGAUGACGUGGAAAUUCCAUCUAGUGGCAAACGGGUGAAUAACACGUGGGUAACCUACCUCUAAGUUGGGGAUAACAGUUGGAAACGACUGAUAAUACCGAAUAAGCUCUACGGAGUAGAGAAGCCAUUAAGCUUCGCUAAGAGAUGGGCCUGCGGCGUAUUAGCUAGUUGGUGGGGUAAGAGCCUACCAAGGCGACGAUGCGUAGCCGAACUGAGAGGUUGAUCGGCCACACUGGGACUGAGACACGGCCCAGACUCCUACGGGAGACAGCAGUUAGGAAUAUUCGUCAAUGGGGGAAACCCUGAACGAGCAAUGCCGCGUGAAUGAAGAAGGCCCUAUGGGUUGUAAAAUUCUGUUGUAUGGAAAGAAAUGUAAAGUUAGGAAAUGAACUUUACUUGACGGUACCAUUCAAGAAAGCCACGGCUAACUACGUGCCAGCAGCCGCGGUAAUACGUAGGUGGCGAGCGUUAUCCGGAUUUAUUGGGCGUAAAGGGUGCGUAGGCGGUAUGUUAAGUAUAAAAUAAAAGCCCGAAGCUUAACUUCGGUUCGUUUUAUAAACUGGCAAACUAGAGUACAGUAGAGGCAAAUGGAAUUCCUAGUGUAGUGGUAAAAUGCGUAGAUAUUAGGAGGAACACCAGUGGCGAAGGCGAUUUGCUGGGCUGUAACUGACGCUGAGGCACGAAAGCGUGGGGAGCAAAUAGGAUUAGAUACCCUAGUAGUCCACGCCGUAAACGAUGAGUACUAAGUGUCGGGAAACCGGUGCUGAAGUUAACACAUUAAGUACUCCGCCUGAGUAGUACGGUCGCAAGGCUGCAACUCAAAUGAAUUGACGG